AGAAAGCCGCGCACCUCCUCCCGCCAGGCGCUUUCUCGGACGCCUUGCCCAGCGGGCCGCCCGACCCCCUGCACCAUGGACCCCGCUCGCCCCCUGGGGCUGUCGAUUCUGCUGCUUUUCCUGACGGAGGCUGCACUGGGCGAUGCUGCUCAGGAGCCAACAGGAAAUAACGCGGAGAUCUGUCUCCUGCCCCUAGACUACGGACCCUGCCGGGCCCUACUUCUCCGUUACUACUACGACAGGUACACGCAGAGCUGCCGCCAGUUCCUGUACGGGGGCUGCGAGGGCAACGCCAACAAUUUCUACACCUGGGAGGCCUGCGACGAGGCUUGCUGGCGGAUAGAAAGUAAGUGCCCUGCGCGCACCCAGGACUCUCGCGCUCCUUGCGCCGGCGGCUGGUAGCAACUUCGCCAGUUUCCCACGUCUCGCUUUCUACAGGAAGUUUUAGCCUGGGUUUUCUCAAGUGUUAAGCAAACCUCAUGGUUUUCAGUUUCUUAAAAUUAAUCACAAAUUUACAACCACUAACACAUUUCCUGUCUCCCAACUGACAUUGAUCAUAAUUCAG
rnacentral:sRNA from 1 species